UACGUAGGUGGCGAGCGUUGUCCGGAUUUACUGGGCGUAAAGCGAGCGCAGGUGGUUUAUUAAGUCUGGUGUAAAAGGCAGUGGCUCAACCAUUGUAUGCAUUGGAAACUGGUAGACUUGAGUGCAGGAGAGGAGAGUGGAAUUCCAUGUGUAGCGGUGAAAUGCGUAGAUAUAUGGAGGAACACCGGUGGCGAAAGCGGCUCUCUGGCCUGUAACUGACACUGAGGCUCGAAAGCGUGGGGAGCAAACAGG
rnacentral:rRNA from 1 species